rnacentral:rRNA from 1 species
ACAUUUCUAGCUUGCUAGAAGAUGACGAGCGGCGGACGGGUGAGUAAUGCUUGGGAAACUGCCUUUAGGAGGGGGACAACAGUUGGAAACGACUGCUAAUACCGCAUAAUCUCUACGGAGCAAAGAUGGGGCUCUUCGGACCUAUCGCCUAAAGAUGUGCCCAAGUGGGAUUAGCUAGUUGGUGAGGUAAUGGCUCACCAAGGCGACGAUCCCUAGCUGGUCUGAGAGGAUGAUCAGCCACACUGGAACUGAGACACGGUCCAGACUCCUACGGGAGGCAGCAGUGGGGAAUAUUGCACAAUGGGCGCAAGCCUGAUGCAGCCAUGCCGCGUGUGUGAAGAAGGCCUUCGGGUUGUAAAGCACUUUCAGUUGGGAGGAAAGGUUAGUCGCUAAUAUCGGCUAGCUGUGACGUUACCAACAGAAGAAGCACCGGCUAACUCCGUGCCAGCAGCCGCGGUAAUACGGAGGGUGCGAGCGUUAAUCGGAAUUACUGGGCGUAAAGCGUACGCAGGCGGUUUGUUAAGCUAGAUGUGAAAGCCCCGGGCUCAACCUGGGAACUGCAUUUAGAACUGGCAAACUAGAGUGUGAUAGAGGGUGGUAGAAUUUCAGGUGUAGCGGUGAAAUGCGUAGAGAUCUGAAGGAAUACCGAUG